rnacentral:rRNA from 1 species
UGGGGAAUAUUGGACAAUGGGGGGAACCCUGAUCCAGCCAUGCCGCGUGUGUGAAGAAGGCCUUAUGGUUGUAAAGCACUUUAAGCGAGGAGGAGGGUACUGGUAUUAAUACUACCAGGUACUGGACGUUACUCGCAGAAUAAGCACCGGCUAACUCUGUGCCAGCAGCCGCGGUAAUACAGAGGGUGCGAGCGUUAAUCGGAUUUACCGGGCGUAAAGCGUGCGUAGGCGGCUAAUUGAGUCGGAUGUGAAAUCCCCGAGCUUAACUUGGGAAUUGCAUUCGAUACUGGUUAGCUAGAGUGUGGGAGAGGAUGGUAGAAUUCCAGGUGUAGCGGUGAAAUGCGUAGAGAUCUGGAGGAAUACCGAUGGCGAAGGCAGCCAUCUGGCCUAACACUGACGCUGAGGUACGAAAGCGUGGGGAGCAAACAGG